AAACCACGAAAACAGCAUUUAUUGUUAGUUCAAUUCAACUCUUUAAUCUAUCCUUGACCUCCAAUAGGAAUGGCUUUUUUUUUUUAUUCUUUCUUUUCUCAAAUUGUGAGGGUUGAGUGUUUACAGCGAAUGGGUGUAAUGUUUUGCCAUCAGAACGAGAUUGGGACACUGAGAGAAGGAACUGCUUUGAUAGGAGACAAACUCUCCCCAUGGAACAUUUGCCAACAUGCUUUUCUCCGCCGCAGGGUUGUAAGGUUGCACAAGGAAAAUAUUAAGCCUUUUACAGAGGGGAAGAGGAUGGGCCAAGAGAGGUAUUUAUAAAAAUGUUUUUAAAAAAAGCAGGACCACAUCAGACAGGGUUGGGGCUUCAUCGCUUCGCCAAUCCUCCUCCAAUCUGACGUCGCAUUCAUUAGGAAGAGCGAGCAUUCCUCGCCGGCGUUUCACCUGGCAGGUCGCUGUCUGCUCUGUAAUUAGCUCAGGCAAGCUAUUGUUUCCAUGACAACAAAAGCAAGCAAGAGGCAGACAAAACACAGACGACAGGAGAGAAAGAGAAUGAGGAAAAUACGGCCCGGGUGGAAAUCUCGGACACAUCCACAAAACGCAAGAACGUGGAGCUGAAGAAAACGUUUGGCGGAGAGCGAGCAAGAAGGAGCGGUGACACGGAGCUCUGGAGAGAUUCCUCUCUGCCGUGGAAGCAGCUGUAGGACGCGAGCGAAUGGAAGAAGCUGGAUGGGACCCGGGGAUCGGCUUGAGUUAGCCACAUAUAAUGUUCAGGGGGACAUCUCCUGAUAGUCAUGCUUGAGAAACUGCAUGAGAAAAUGAUGUGCACCCAGGUGGUCAAAUGCUCUUUUUGUCUCCCAGCAGAGAACCAGUGCUGCUUUUAUUGCUGUUCAUCACUUUAAAGCAGGACCCAUGGCGGGUGUUUACGGCUCCUCGCUUCCCCUCGGUUCUGCAUGCUUCCAUGCUCCCCUUCGCCAAACGAGCAGGGGCUUUUGUUGUCGAGGGAGGGGGAAGGGGGGGAGUAAAAACUUGCAAAGGGGCUUAUCGAGUGUGGCGUGAAUAUGUGGCGUGUGAGUAAUAAACCAUGCAUCUAUUCACGUCAAGCCUCUCGGAGUCCAGACGAUUCAGCGUGCCGCUCGCGAGGAGCCCAUAUGGGCUCCCAGUUCAAUUUACACAACAACGAAACAAGAACACUCAAUUUAUUGUACGCCAUAUAUCAUACGAAUACAAUGGCGGCCCUAUCGGGCACGCGGGCUGGAGCAUAUUGUCGGCGGUCAUUAGGCCCAGAUUAAUACUUGCAUGGAUAUACACAAAGCCCAACAGAAUGAUAUUGCUCUGAGUUGGCAUCCAUAAAUUGUGGAGAUAUAGUGAUGCCAGAUAGAAGGCAUAUGGCCGUGGUAGGACACUGCUCCUUCUAAUUGAGAAGCAGAGCAAGCAGUCCAUAAAGAUGCCAAGACAUAGUUAAAUAUUUAUGUAGAUGAAUGGAGUAAUAAAUAAAUGGUUAAAUGAAUAAUGGCACGGCUAACGUGAUCGCAAGAGAUAAGUCGUGUUUUAUUCAGGACCUCUAACCCGUUUAGAGGGAAUAGAGGGCGUUAUUCUAAUGACUCGUUUGUUCCCUCCGUGUUAAAGUGAAGAGGUGGCGUUUUAAUGAAAGUGCAUUUUCAGUUAUCAGCUCAACAAUCUCAUGCCCCCAAUACAGUUUGACAGGCCCACUGUUCAAAGUUGCUUUUGGCGAUUUAAGGUGAUAUUUCUAUUUUUUUUUUUUCCCCAGGAAAAAUCAAUCCCUUGUUAAAUCCUUUUUUAAGUUAAUCUGCACAUCCCCGAGCUUCAUAUUGUUAUAUUAGUAUUCCUCUAUCUCAAAAAACAUUUCCUCCCUUUACAGACAGAUUAAAGCCGCCCUGUGCUUCCAUUCUGUGGGGAUAUUGUGUGUCUCCGGACUCCCCAAUGAGCGGGAGCAGAUUGCUGAUUCGGCAUGCCCUCUACAGGCCAACAGUGGAACUCAGCGUCUCUCGAGAAAGACGACAACUGUCCUCCAACAUCAUCUUAUCACAAACGAGUAUCAACAGAAGCAUUAUAAAUAAAUACAUAAAAAAAAGAAAUGAUAUUCAGUCUUAAAAUCAACAAGUACUAUAAUUCAAACCUCUUUAUUGUCAAAGGGAUUCAAGAGGAGGUGAAAGUGUGAAAAGCGGUCAGCGAUGUUUUACGGCAUUUUCAGAUACACUGCUGCGAGUGGACUCGUGGGAAAAGCUGUCAGCCGCAGAGACAUAGAGUCCCACUGUGAAGUCAGGACCACAGCAGACAUGAAGCUGUCCACAGCAUGCCGUCAAGACCCCACUCUUUGUCCUCUGGAUCCGUCCCUCUUCUGCCCAACCGGGAGAGACACGACUCCAUUCUACUGCAGUUCCAUUCACGCCCACUGACACAAUUAAUCAUAAACUAGUUCAAUCAUACAAAGUAUUCUCAUGAGAAGACGGUGCACAUUUGACGUCAAAUAUAAUCAUCACUGGUGUCCUCCGAGCCAACGUUAUUGGUCACUUGGCUGGUGACCCUGUUGAUCUCUGUGGGGGCCCUGGGAGUCUAUGCAGACCCCACUUGAAAAAAAAGCCGACUUUACCCUUAAGAAACACAAUUGCACGGCCGCAAACAAAACCAUUACAGGAUCCUAUCCCCAAAAACUCUUUUAAUUAAGCAAAGACAGUCGGCGCGACGACAGGACGCUUCUGUGUAAAACUGCGUGACAUUUGGUGGAGGAAAUCAUUUUCAUGGGGCAUUGUUGUCGGCGCUCGUGUGCUUGUUUGCCUGGGUGUUUGUGUGUGUGUGUGUGUGUUUGCCUGUGCAGGGCCGGGUGUGUAUUUGUCUAGCCUUUGAAGGCUCUGCCUUCCCCAGUGUGUCUUUAUUGUGGGGCAGCUGAGGCCCAGCCUGUAGCUCUGUCCAGCACCGGGGCCCAGACACCAGCUGCAUUCACCGUCACAGGCCCUCCGUCGCCUUUUGAUGUCCGCGCUGCUGCCCGGCACCCGGACCACACCAGAGACGCCGCGUAUCCACCAGCCAUCUUGAGUUCAAAAAAGAAAAAAGGAGGAGAGACAGAAACAACUCACUCCUAGUUCUGUGUUUUUUUAUUAUCUAACGGGAGAGGAGAAUUUGUUUGAUAUCUGUGGACAAAAAACAAGCUGUUGGGGUCUGGGCACUCUGGGGUGUCUGACUGAUUGACUGCAUGGGCAAAGUUCCCAGGGUCUGUCUUUGUGUCCAACUGCUUUUCAAACAGCCCCGGGCUUGAGAGAGUUUUGCCUCGAGCAGAAAAAAUGAUAAAUUAGAAUUACAUUUUACCAAAUCAGAGGGCCUAGGUUUGGACUAGAGAUGUGCAAGAAUGAAACGAGAUAGCCUUUCAUCACGUGGAAUCAAAGGACAAUGGUGUUGACGUGAACGUAUUUGUCCUUUGGAAGAGUAAUCAUAUGAAUAUGCAAAGUAAAAAAAUGAGACUUCCUGCUGCUGUGUUGAAGCAAUUGACAGCACACUUUUGAAUUUGAUUAUUUUUUUUUCUUCUUCUAGUUUGCAUUUUUGGACGUUAGUAUUGAAAUGCACAGCCGAAGACACUGCUAGUUGCUCUUGAUCGUGUGCAGUUUGUCCACUGAAUGCAGAGGAAUUACAAUUAUCUGUACUGUAGAUGGUUUAUAGCUUGAUUUAGAUUAAAGGACACAUUCGAUACAGUAAAUCAAAGCUUAAAAAUGAUACCGUGAUCACUCUUUGAGAGACGGCGAGGCGAGCACGGAGACGUCCGGCUCCGGAGGGGCCGGCAUCAAGCACACGGCCCCUUCGGAGAAAGGAAACGAGGGAAUAACGAAGGGGGAAACAAUGUGCACUGAUCCUAUUAUCCUCUGGGCUUUCAUAACCGAGGUUUUAUAGACAAUGUUUGGAUCCUGACCUCUGGAAUUCACCGGGCGCAGUGACAUUUCUCCUCUCCAGGCAGCGUCUGCUUUGCAGACGGAUGACACGGACGUCGGCGUAAACCCCGGAUAGCCGCUUUGCUUCACGAUCGUUGUUAGCCUUAAAGCCCUUGCGCAAGCAACUCAGGAAAAUGCCUAAUGGUCUUUAUCAUAAAUAUCAGUGCUGCAAAGGUUAUAGCUAGAUAGAUAUGUCCCCGCGCCCCAUUUAGUCGCACGGCAGACACUUUUGAGUGAUGGUGCCUCCAGAUGGGUCGAGCCACGCAGAUAGAGGAGGCUUAGAACUAAAUAACAAGUAGGUUACUCACAGGGUAAUCUCAAUGCAGGUGAAAUAUCUACUCUUGUGUAAAGGUUAUCUCAAUAUAACUUCUGCGUUGCUUCCUCAAACCUCCGCAGCCUCCUCGGUUAAAGUAACGGAUGACCUCGCCAUUUCACAACAGACUUGGAGCAGGACUCGUGGACACGUGACCCUCACGGAGACUCUGCAGCUGUCUCCUCCUCGGCUGGAGGGCCGUAGACGGACGGUUUACCCGGCUGAACUGUAAUCACAUGAUAAUUUCUAUUGACCAUCAUUGAUUUGCUAUUAGAGGACUAGUUUAACCUUGAUGUAUGGCAGCAGACUCGUCGAGUCCGAGGCCAUAAAGGGAUCAUUGACAAGCAGCAAUGGCCCUUCUCAACAUGCCCCCAAGGUCCCCUUCAGCACCGGAUCAAUAGCUGACCUCUAUGGCUAUUAUUUACUGGCAAUAGCAUUUCGCCCCUUUUUCUGGAAAUGAUGUACAGUAUCUGUCCGAAUGGAAAGGGGAUACAUUGUUCUUCACCUUGAGCUAAGAGGCUUAAACAGUCCGCAAAGAGAAAUAAAGGCAGGUGAAUAUAUCGCUGGUUCUUUUCUUGAUCGAUCCUUGUGUUAAUAAAAUAUAAGAAGUAUGGGAGUGUGGUGGACCGGUGGUUAAGACGCACACCGUUUACUGUAAUCGCAAUGUCUCCCUCACUUUGUUUCCCAUCAUCUUCUUACGUUGUCCUUUAAAUAAAGCCCAGAAUGUCCAAAAACAUUCUAGCAAAAUAAAUCCUGAAUAAAAAAUAGCAGAAAAUUGCACCACAAAACACCAUCACAUUCCCCUGGAUGAGGGCUUCUCUAUGUCAUAAGUACAUUCAUCUUUGUAUUAAUACUUUGUAGAAUCAUUGUGUGAACAUCACAAAAGUCAUGUGGUCGGUUGAAUGUUGAAUAAAAAUGCAAUCCAAAUGGAA